ACGAACCGUGCGAACGUUGUUCGGAAUCACUGGGCUUAAAGGGUGCGUAGGCGGUUUCUUAAGUCGGAUGUGAAAGCCCUGGGCUCAACCUGGGAAUGGCACUCGAUACUGGGAAGCUGGAGUGCGGUAGAGGAGGGUGGAAUUCCCGGUGUAGCGGUGGAAUGCGUAGAGAUCGGGAGGAACAUCAGUGGCGAAGGCGACCCUCUGGACCAGCACUGACGCUGAGGCACGAAAGCGUGGGGAGCAAACAGGA
rnacentral:rRNA from 1 species